rnacentral:rRNA from 1 species
CCAGCAGCCGCGGUAAUACGUAGGGGGCAAGCGUUGUCCGGAAUAAUUGGGCGUAAAGGGCGCGUAGGCGGCUCGGUAAGUCUGGAGUGAAAGUCCUGCUUUUAAGGUGGGAAUUGCUUUGGAUACUGUCGGGCUUGAGUGCAGGAGAGGUUAGUGGAAUUCCCAGUGUAGCGGUGAAAUGCGUAGAGAUUGGGAGGAACACCAGUGGCGAAGGCGACUAACUGGACUGUAACUGACGCUGAGGCGCGAAAGUGUGGGGAGCAAACAGGAUUAGAUACCCUGGUAGUCCACACUGUAAACGAUGAAUGCUAGGUGUAGGGGGUAUCGACCCCUUCUGUGCCGCAGUCAACACAAUAAGCAUUCCGCCUGGGGAGUACGGCCGCAAGGUUGAAACUCAAAGGAAUUGACGGGGGCCCGCACAAGCAGCGGAGCAUGUGGUUUAAUUCGACGCAACGCGAAGAACCUUACCAGGUCUUGACAUCCACUUAAACUUACAGAGAUGUAAGGUGUGCUUGCACAAAGUGAGACAGGUGGUGCAUGGUUGUCGUCAGCUCGUGUCGUGAGAUGUUGGGUUAAGUCCCGCAACGAGCGCAACCCUUAUCUUCAGUUACUAACGCGUGAUGGUGAGGACUCUGAAGAGACUGCCGGGGACAACUCGGAGGAAGGUGGGGACGACGUCAAAUCAUCAUGCCCCUUAUGACCUGGGCUACACACGUGCUACAAUGGCCACGACAGAGAGAAGCGAAAUCGCAAGGUAGAGCGGAACUCAAAAAAGUGGU